UACGGAGGUGGCAAGCGUUGUUCGGAAUUACUGGGCGUAAAGGGCGCGUAGGCGGCAAGGCAAGUCAGGUGUGAAAGCCCCGAGCUUAACUCGGGAAUUGCAUCUGAAACUGCUGUGCUUGAGUUCUGGAGGGGGUAGUGGAAUUCCCAGUGUAGCGGUGAAAUGCGUAGAUAUUGGGAGGAACACCUGCGGCGAAGGCGGCUAACUGGCCCAUUACUGACGCUGAGGCUCGAAAGCGUGGGGAGCAAACAGGG
rnacentral:rRNA from 1 species